ensembl:lncRNA
GACGGUUGUAUGGUACAAUUAUUACAUCGGGUCAGGGGCUGGAUUAAGAAAUAAUACGCCGCGGGGCUUAGAUAUUUUAUAUUAUUAUAAUGGUGAUAACGAAGAUUGGUAUGAGGAUGACAGUAUUGAUUGAAGUGUGAAGAUGUGAUCCGAUAGCGAUUUUGACCAUGACAGUUAUAAUUUGAUUCAUUCAAAAAUAAAGUUGCCACGUAUCACCAUGAGGAAACAGUGUAUAUCCUAGAUAUUUUAAAAAAAAAACACAUUGUGGAGGAUACAGCAAAAGUGCCCGAGGAAGAGCUCCGGGCCCCAUCUACAUUAUCUGAUUGACACUUCUCCCUUCCUGUACCAGCAACACUCCUUCCACUGCCACUGCCUUUCUGAACUGCCUCAACACCCGGUCAGCUGUGGAACACCAGCACUUUCCACUGCCAGAACCCAGAAUGGAUUAUUGUUUUCAAAGCAUAUUUGAAAUUCUCUUUGUAAUGAAAAGCACUAUAUACAAAAAAAAUAUUAGAUUGUGUAACUAUUCUACUUAGAAGCAUUCAUUUUUUGAAAGUACAUUUUUGAAAGGGGUUUGCUCUGCAAGACAUUACGGUAACAGUCUAGCCAACAAUAUCCUGAUUCACAACUAUUUGCACUAGCUCCUCCCAGUAACAUACUGUACAAGCUGUGGGCUUCCUCUGCACACCUCGCUCUCUCUCUCUCUCACACACACAACCACAUUACCAUAAAUUAUUGUACAUCCACAUAGUGAAACCAAAAAUCUAUCAGAAGGACUUGAUAUACUCUUCUUUCUCUCUAGACUGAAAGCUGUAACAGGGCGUCUACUGUUGAGCAUUAGAUAAGUUAAAUACAAAGUAAUAAAUGAGUGUAAUACUGGUUCCACUGCACCAAUAUCAUCAGCUUCCUAUGAUGACGCUCUUGGUAAUAAAGAUUGUCCCACCAAAGGACCUUUGACCCGAUCCAUUUGAAGUGGAAGCUGGGUCCUUUAGUCUCAAUAGGUUUAUGGUGCCUCAAAUAGCUAACAAGUUAUUUAAUUAAAC